GCUCCGUGGGGGUCGGAGGGGCGGCGGCGGUAGCCGCGGCCGCGGCCCCGGCGCGAGGGCUCCCUGGCCGGGCCCACUUCCCCCGCCCCCGGGGCGCUCCGAUGAGGAAGAGCAGCCCAGCGCGCGUCCGUCCUGAGCGUGGGCCUGUAGCUAAUUACAGACUCAAACCCAAGAGCAGAAGGUGAAGACGCGCAGCUUGCAGCAGCCCCCUCCUUGGCCUGCGCACCUCACCUUGAGGGCGUCCCGAUUUAAAUGCGUGCCUCCUGCGUUUCUGCUUCUGCACCAGGCUGGAGUGGCGACCAGGAACGCUGGAGCCACAGGGAUCUGUGGCGAUGGCAUGGGGAUCUGGUCGAACCAUGGUGUUCUUUGGGGCAUCUGACUAUUGUUUGAUAACCAGAAAGAAAUAAAAAGUUGGUGAUCACAAGGUUAAUGUCA